UACGGAGGGGGCGAGCGUUGUCCGAAUUUAUUGGGCGUAAAGCGCGUGUAGGCGGACGGGAAAGCCUGGGGUGAAAGGUUGGAGCUCAACUCCAUACAGUGCCCUGGGGACUUCUUGUCUGGAGGCAGGCAGGGGAUCGUGGAAUUCCUGGUGUAGCGGUGGAAUGCGUAGAGAUCAGGAAGAACACCCGUGGCGAAGGCGGCGAUCUGGGCCUGUACUGACGCUGAGACGCGAAAGCGUGGGGAGCGAACGGG
rnacentral:rRNA from 1 species